rnacentral:rRNA from 1 species
CCAAUAGCGUAUAUUAAAGUUGUUGCAGUUAAAAAGCUCGUAGUUGAAUUUCGGGGUUAGUAGAUUGGUCAUGCCUCUGNUAUGCNNUGGNNNNACUGAUUCCUCCUUCCUGAUGAACCGUAAUGCCAUUAAUUUGGUGUUGCGGGGAAACUGGACUGUUACNUUGAAAAAAUUAGAGUGUUUAAAGUAGGCUAACGCUUGAAUACAUUAGCAUGGAAUAAUGAAAUAGGACGUUCGAUCUUAUUUUGUUGGUUUCUAGGAUUGACGUAAUGAUUAAUAGGGAUAGNUGGGGGCAUUAGUAUUCAAUUGUCAGAGGUGAAAUUCUUGGANNNNUUGAAGACUAACUACUGCGAAAGCAUUUGCCAAGGAUGUUUUCAUUAAUCAAGAACGAAAGUUAGGGGAUCGAAGACGAUCAGAUACCGUCGUAGUCUUAACCAUAAACUAUGCCGACUAGGGAUCGGAUGAUGUUAAUUUUUUAAUGACUCAUUCGGCGCCUUACG